GGGAGGAGACAUCCAUGGAACGUAGUUCAAUUUAGGAUGGAUGUCGACGACUUAUCACAGAGCAUAGCGAUGUGAUGUUACCCGUG
rfam:Clostridium sp. CAG:127 genomic scaffold, scf160